rnacentral:rRNA from 1 species
AGCGGCGGACGGGUGAGUAACGUGUGGGCAACCUGCCCUGUAGUGUGGAAUAAUCACCGGAAACAGUGACUAAUACCGCAUGUCAUUCCCUAGGGGCAUCUUUGGGGAAGAAAAGGAGCAAUUCGCUACAGGAUGGGCCCGCAUCUGAUUAGGUAGUUGGUGAGAUAACAGCCCACCAAGCCUACGAUCAGUAGCCGACCUGAGAGGGUGAUCGGCCACAUUGGGACUGAGACACGGCCCAA